rnacentral:rRNA from 1 species
GAUGAACGCUAGCUACAGGCUUAACACAUGCAAGUCGAGGGGCAUCAGGAAGAAAGCUUGCUUUCUUUGCUGGCGACCGGCGCACGGGUGAGUAACACGUAUCCAACCUGCCCUUUACUCGGGGAUAGCCUUUCGAAAGAAAGAUUAAUACCCGAUAGUAUAAUGAUUCCGCAUGGUUUCAUUAUUAAAGGAUUCCGGUAAAGGAUGGGGAUGCGUUCCAUUAGGUUGUUGGUGAGGUAACGGCUCACCAAGCCUUCGAUGGAUAGGGGUUCUGAGAGGAAGGUCCCCCACAUUGGAACUGAGACACGGUCCAAACUCCUACGGGAGGCAGCAGUGAGGAAUAUUGGUCAAUGGGCGCUAGCCUGAACCAGCCAAGUAGCGUGAAGGAUGAAGGCUCUAUGGGUCGUAAACUUCUUUUAUAUAAGAAUAAAGUGCAGUAUGUAUACUGUUUUGUAUGUAUUAUAUGAAUAAGGAUCGGCUAACUCCGUGCCAGCAGCCGCGGUAAUACGGAGGAUCCGAGCGUUAUCCGGAUUUAUUGGGUUUAAAGGGAGCGUAGGUGGACUGGUAGGUCAGUUGUGAAAGUUUGCGGCUCAACCGUAAAAUUGCAGUUGAUACUGUCAGUCUUGAGUACAGUAGAGGUGGGCGGAAUUCGUGGUGUAGCGGUGAAAUGCUUAGAUAUCACGAAGAACUCCGAUUGCGAAGGCAGCUCACUGGACUGCAACUGACACUGAUGCUCAAAGGUGUGGGUAUCAAACAGG